UCCUGAAACCUUUAUUUUUGUGUCUCCCUGCUUCAAAGCUUUGUUUUCUGUAGCCAAAUUAGUCCAGAAAGUUAUGAUUUGCUGGCCUAGGCCGGCAAAAAUAUCACUAAAAAUUGGUUGGUGGAACUGAUUUAAUUUGCAAUGACAGUUCUAAAUUUAAAUUAAAUUGUUAGAAUGAUAGGCAUAUUUUUUGUGCAAAUUCCAUUUUAAGCACUUUAUGGCUUGGUAGGUAACAUAGUAAUACGUAUAUGUAAAUGCGGUAGUGCGGUUAUGACACUUGUACAUGUUUACCGAUGGUAAACUUACGGUUUAUG